ACUAAUAAGCAGUCUUUCUGAAAUAAUGUAUUAGGUUCUUCCAACUCGUUAUAUCAGCUAGGCAGGUUUAGAAGUAUUUUAGGCUCGGCUUAACAACAAUAAACUAAAAGUUUGACCUCAAAUCAGGUAGGACUACCCGCUGAACUUAAGCAUAUCAAUAAGCGGAGGAAAAGAAACCAACAGGGAUUGCCUCAGUAACGGCGAGUGAAGCGGCAAAAGCUCAAAUUUGAAAUCUAGCACCUUCGGUGUUCGAGUUGUAAUUUGAAGAUGGUAACCUUGGGUUUGGCUCUUGUCUAUGUUCCUUGGAACAGGACGUCAUAGAGGGUGAGAAUCCCGUCUGAUGAGAUGCCCAUUCCUAUGUAAGGUGCUAUCGAAGAGUCGAGUUGUUUGGGAAUGCAGCUCUAAGUGGGUGGUAAAUUCCAUCUAAAGCUAAAUAUUGGCGAGAGACCGAUAGCGAACAAGUACAGUGAUGGAAAGAUGAAAAGAACUUUGAAAAGAGAGUGAAAAAGUACGUGAAAUUGUUGAAAGGGAAGGGCAUUAGAUCAGACUUGGUGUUUUACGAUUAUCUUCUCUUCUUGAGUUGUGCACUCGUAUUUCACUGGGCCAGCAUCGAUUCGGAUGGCAAGAUAAUGGCAGUUGAAUGUGGCUUCACUUCGGUGGAGUGUUAUAGCUUCUGCUGAUAUUGCCUGUCUGGAUCGAGGGCUGCGUCUUUUGACUAGGAUGCUGGAAU
rnacentral:rRNA from 1 species